GGUACAUCCUAAGUUAUCCUGGCGAACAUUAAACAAGUACAUUUUACUACUAUAGAGGUUACUGGUUUCAAAAGCAGGAUUUGAAUGGGAACGUGAUCGAUAUUUGUACUCAAGUUCGGCAUUCCUUCAAUAAAUAAAUCGAAAGAAGGUAGAUAUUUUCUAUGAAGUGAAAAAUGCUUUACAUUUGUAUGUAAGGGAUACAAGACGAAGUUAGCCUAUCAUAUCAGAUACAGAACUAGCACGAGCCGCGUAACGAGUGAUCCGUCCCGUAACUGACAUAAUAGACAUAAUAGACCAUCGGAUUCGUGUAUCUUACUUAAAACAUUGGUCUAUCUAAAACAGUAUUCCUCAUAAUAUUGGCCUGCUCUUAAUAAUACUGGACUAUGUUCAGUACAGUAUGAAAAAUAAAGUACUGUCAAGACAAAGAACUGACGUCACAACAAUGUUUUAAGUUUAUGUACGUAUCAGCUAUACCUGUAUAGAAGAUUGAGAUUUUCCAUUUUAAUGCACAGACCUGAAAGAUAUAAAUAUAUGACAAUAUCAAAAUGUUAUAACACACCUAUAUAAAAAGCACUGUGUAAAAAGUAGCAAAUGUGACAUCCAGAUUAAGGAUAAAUGAACUAGAUAUAACUUCCAGGUCAAAGGAUAAAUUAACUAGAUCUAACUUCCUGAUUAAAGGAUAAAUGAACUAGAUGUAACUUACUGAUUAAAGAUAAAUGAACUAGAUGUGACUUCCUGAUUAAGGAUAAAUGAACUAGAUGUGACUUCCUGAUUAAAUGAUGAAUGAACUAGAUGUGACUUCCUGAUUAAGGAUAAAUGAACUAGAUGUGACUUCCAGAUUAAGGAUAAAUACACUAGAUGUGACUUCCUGAUUAAGGAUAAAUGAACUAGAUGUGACUUCCUGAUUAAGGAUAAAUGAACUAGAUGUGACUUCCUGAUUAAGGAUAAAUGAACUAGAUAUGACUUCCAGAUUAAGGAUAAAUGAACUAGAUUGUUCUUUGAUUCUGACUUUGUUAUCACAAACUGAUUUUUAAAAUCAAAGUACAUGUCCGUACGCAUACAAUAGUGAUAUAUCACCACGUGGUCCUAUAUUUUUAUCUUCAUGACCCGCCCAGUGAAGAUAAAGGUCUAUAUUUGCAUUCCUGACCAGGAUUGUGUGAAUUGCUACAUUUUGCAGUGUUGUUUUAGUGAACAGCAAGUCCAUAUUUGAAAGAUCUCAGAAAAUUCAAAAAACAUAUGCAUGUAAGUAGAAAACCGUACAUUGAGAAAUUAUAAAUGUAUAAUUUCAUCAAAUGACGAGUAUACAUUGUGGUCCUGUAUAAAACAUAUUCAUAGACAGGUAAAUGAGAGGAAAAAAUAUGACUUGCUAAAUAUGUAAGAGGAUUACCGGGCGAUACGAAUUGUAGGAUGCAUUUCUAAUUUUCUAUACUUGAAAUGUAAGUAAGGCAUACAAGACUCCUAUGGUCUAUUAUGUCAGACACAGGACUGACACGAGCCGCGUAGUGAUCCGUCUCCGUCCCGUAUCUGACAUAAUAGACCAUCGGAAUCUUGUAUCUUACUUAAAACAUUGUUCUAGCUAAAAACAAAUGCAUUUAAACGCAAAAAAAAAACAAAAAAAAAAAAAACAACAACAACAAAAAACCCAAACACUUACAAAUAUAUAUUGGUAGAGACAAAUAUAUUUACACCUUUCGUUUCUGAUUUGUUUUUAAUAUUAAAUAUAUUAGGAAUUCAUAAACUUUAAUGGCACACAAGGUCAACUCUUUUCUUUAAUUCGCUCAUUAAAUGUUAGCUCAUCAUUUCAAUUGUUAAAAUACGAUACUCCUCAAAACAGGCUUUUGUUCUUCAUGGAAAGCGAUUCGAAGGCUUCUAUUGUCUGAAGACUGUACUCAACAAAACUGGUUUUCUUUUUUGGGUGAAUGAGGGUACAUGAAGGGUGUUCGGAAAGAAUCUUUUCGAUAAAACAAAACAUUGAUAUCCCACGUUCCUUUCUGGGAACCCUAAUAAUAUGAUACUGACACGUAGGUCUAUAACUGGUAUAAAAACAGAAGCCGCAGCGCUAAUUUAGCAUUUAGUCCGGGUGCCUGGAAGAAAUGGAUUCAUAUGAUUGAAAAGUACAUGAGUUUGUGGUAAGAUUAUUCAUUAUUUCUACAAAUUCUCCUAAAUAUGUUUAGAAAAAAUUUCACAGUCUUUAUUUUGUUUCUUUCAUUUUUGUUGCAUACAAAUUUCUUUUUAAUCAUUUGUAGCCCCAGCAGUGGAAAAUGCAAUGCAUUAUAUCUCAGACCAAAAAUCGCUCCUAAGGGGAAUGUAAGGUACGACGACGUCCCAGUCGGGGUACAUCAACUGCAACAGAUUGUGGCCAAAAUGUGUAGAGAGGCAGGAUUUGAUGGGUUUUUUAGUUAUUUUUCUGUUUUUCUUUUUUACAAAUCGCUCUCUUCGGGCUACUGCCGCCACACGCCUAUAUGCUACGGGUGUUGACGAGCAACUUAUAGCGGGAAAAAAGUUGGUCACAGGCCAUCUGCGAUUCGCAACUACAAACGCACCUCUGAUGAACAAUUACAGAGUUUAAAGUGAUUUGAUUCAUAAACCGUCCACAGUGUCCUCGCCGGAGCCGAAAAAAUUGAAGCUUAAUGAAAGUGUUUCCUUUGGAUCGGGAAAAGAAAUAAACAUCACUGCCGGGGAUGUAACAGUGAAUUUGCGACUUUAAUGUACAUGUGUUUAAAUGAAUGGUUGUGACAAGGAUUUAUAACUGUGGUGCCUAAACGAUUUCAUAUACAGUACAAUUGGAUUCUACACGAAACACUCAUUUCGUAUAAUUUACUGGAAUAUUUCACACCUUGAAUAUUGUAUUUGAUAAAUAAUGUUUUCUCGCACAACGAAUAGUAGUCUUUAUUCCUGGGUUUUACCGUCAGUCCAAUAUUUCAUUGUGUAUGCCAUUAAAAUAGAUAACCUUUGAAGUUACAUAUUUCAUCAAUAAUAGGUCCGAAAUACCCAAGGAAUUGAACAUUUAAAAAUACAAGAAGGGGGUACCGGAAGGGGUACUACUAAACAGAGUACGUUAGAGUACGAUAGAGUACUUUAGAGUACGCUAGUAAAAUUUCAAUAUUUAAUGCAAUUCAAUUGUUUAUUUGUAUGUAUACCACUUAAAUAAAGAUGAUUAUAAAAUAAAAGUGCAAUACUUGUCAAACGUAUUUGGUAUUUUAGCGAUAUUUUGACCAGAAAACAUUAAAUGUAUUGAAGAUUUACGGCAUCCCGAUCCCGAUUAUUAGUAGUUUGUUUUGAAAAAGUAUAAAAUUUGAUCGGGAUCGGAAUCAAACGGUAAAUUUAACUUACAAUAAUUCCUAAAAUAAUGAAAACAAACACAAUAUAUUCCAGAUAUACAUUUAAUAGGUUAAACUAAAGUAAGAACAUCUACGAACAGCAGUUAAAUUGCAUUAAAUUAUGAAAUUUUACUAGCGUACUCUAAAGUACUCUAUCGUACUCUGUUUAGUAGGAGAGGUACCUGAAGUCCUGUUCACAAGCACCUGUGCAUCAAAACUGAAACGUUCAGCACUUACAACAAAUAGCAAAUUAACGGAUUAAUAUGAUUUAUGAAACUAUUUAUGUGCGUAUGAUCCUAAUAACGUAAUGUCCCAUACCCUUUCAAUUUGAAAAUCCAUUUUCAUUCCGAAUUUGGGAAUUCCGAAUUUCUGACUAGGCUAUUGCGCAUGCGGUUCGUCGAAUUACCCAAAUGGAACCCAAAAUGGACCCAAAUGGAAAUCAAAUGGACCCAAAUAGAAAUCUAAAUAUGAAUUAUAUAGAUUAAUGAUGAAAUGGAAAUCUAAAUAUGUAUUAGGGAUCGAUCAAUAUUUAUUGGGGAGCUGGGACCGGUGCAAAAUGUAAUAGGACACACAUUUAUUUUGACUUGCAUACUGAUAGGACUCCAACUUUUUUUUUUAUAUUUUCAACACUGAUAGGACAGCUAUAUUUUUUUGCAAAUGUAGCAAAAAGCAAAAAAUAUAAUAUAAAGUAUUUCAAACUUUUAAUUCAACUAUCUUUUUUAAAAAUAAUAAUACUGAAUUGUGUGCAUGCUUUAUUUCAUGUCCAAGUUGAAUAUACUAAAGGCAAUUUGCAAUAAGAUACUGGACCUUUGAUAUUAAUUAAAACAUGUAGUCAUUUUUAAAAUCACAAAAGAAGUAUUCAGCUGUGAAUAAAAAUGCAAAAAUUACAUGUAAGUUUUGCAUGGAGGGAUUUCAAUCAUAGAAAAUAAAAAUGGUUCACCAGUCAUAACUUGAAAGAUACAGACCUAACUUAAGUCUAAAAACAUCUUUGAUAAUUUGAUAGUUUGCCAUUACAACCUAUCAUUGCAGGGGUCAAAUGCUGUCUGAAUUGUUUCAUACCGAGUGUUAAACCGUUAUUGGCACACUGAUUUUGACUACGAAUAACUCCGUUUACCUGAUCAAGAUAUAAGGCUCACAGAGAUGUGACCGGUCGACAGAGGAUCCUUACUCCUCCUAGGCACCUGAUCCCGCCUCUAGUAGAUCCAGGGGUCCGUGUUUGCUCAACUUUCUAUUGUGUAUUGUUUAUAAGAGUUAUGAGAUUGAUUUCUGUUAGCUAUCUUCACCUUUCAUAGAGAAUACUGAGAUGUGAAAAAUACUUGUAAGUACAUGAGACAACAAUGCAGUAAAACAGUAAUUAAAAAUAUGCAAAAUGUAGCACUUUAAACAAGAAUUUAAGAAAAAGAAAACAAUAAGAUGAAAAUAAUGAGAUUUGUAACACUAGACAGUAGACAAAUUACUGAACAAACGUGACAAAGUAAAGGAAAGUUUCUCAGGAGCUUGAAUCCUUCAGCUGAUAUAACUGGAGAGACAAUCAUGAAGAACUCCAGAGAUUUUUAGAAUGAAGUAAAAAUGGUGUUUAAUCAUACAUAAAUAUUUAUUUAUUGGAAUAGGACACCCACUUUUUAAGUACACAUCUGAUAUAGGACAGCAACUUUUUUGUAUUCUUUAGAAGAUAGGACAUAGGGUCUUUAAAAAAUGGAAAUAUAGAAUAUGCACUGUUCCUCCCACCCCAAUAAAUAUUGACCAAUCCCUUAGUCUACAAAGAGUAAUAAUGAGUUAACAUAUGGACAUAAAAAAUUAUGAAUUGAUGCAUGAAUUUAAUUAUUUGUAUUUGAACAUUUCAUAAUAUUAAAUAAAAAGAUAUUCCUUUCUAUAUCAAAGUGUAUACAGAUAUCAUAAUGUAUACAAAGAUGAAGUUGUGUGCAAUAUAUGUAAAAUUUAUUGUAUUUCAUAUUGAAGUAUAUAGAUAUCAUAUAUAAAAAUUAAUUGUGUACAAUAUAUGUGAAAUUGUCGUUUUUAUAAUAUCCUCUAAUUUUUGCAUAAAAAAGAAUCGCCACGUAUUAGGAGUAAAUUGCAUUGACCAAUAAGAAAUCAAAUUAUUGUGUUUGAGAACAUAAUUAUGAGACCUUUACAUUUAAAAAACACUAGUUUUGACGAAGAUUCUUUUCUUCCUGAUUAUUCUUUCUAAAGGUAAGUCUGUUUUAUGGAAAGAAUAUCGAUUAUGCAUAAUUCUUCAGAAAAUAAGAAAUCGUCCACGUUUCUCUUUUGUAUAUUGUGUUUAGAGUACAUAGAUUUAAGAGAACGAUUUACACAAUGUACGUGCAAGUUUUGCAACCUUUUUAAAUAUAUUUAGGAUUCUAAUCUGAAUUGGCAUGAUUUUGAAACAGAUUCCAUGUAUAUGUGUGAAUUCCCAGUCUAUCUCAUCCCUUUUUGAUUCAUGUAAUCGUUUCACGCUUUUUGUAAGCUUUAGAGAUUGGCCUUCUACCGGUAUAAUAAAAUGAAUGGGGGUAGUAAUAUCCAUACUUCAGGUGCCUGUGAAAACGUCUAGUCUCCGUAGGAUAAAACAGGGGAAAACCCCAAACAAACACAAAACAUAAACAAAACAAAAACAUAACAAAAACAACAACCAAAAAAAAAAAAAUAGAUUAAAAAAAAAGAGAGAAAUAAAAUGUCACGCAUAUGGAUGUUAAAAAGUUGGUUGUAAAUAGUAUGUAUUUGGUAGCUCCAAUAAUUCAAUGUGCUUUUGUAUGGUGCUUUAUAUAUAUAAUGCAUGUAAGGUUGUUUUGUUGUAAAUGUAAAACUUAUACGGUACCAAUUUUGAUAAUAUUUGUUUUGAUGUAUAAUAGGUAUUACGUAAAGUUUAGUCAUUCAUAUGAUUUAUUAAUCAAAAAGUAGCUUUAUCUACAUAGUGCAUGUUAAAUACUUUUGUUGUAAAUAAUAUGUAGUCUUAUUGAUUCCAAGCAUACAUGCAUUUGAUUUUUAUUAGCUCCAUCCAUGUAAGAAGUUUUGGUGUAAAUAGUAUGUAUAGUAGUUCCAUUUAUUCAAUUGUUUUUGUAUCUAAUAAGUUCUUCAAUUUUUAACUUAUUUUGAAUUCCAAUAUAAUUUAACAAAUUAAAAGUUUUUAAAAAAUAUUCCUUCUUUCGAUUGAUAAAAAUUCCUCUAUAGACAUAUUCUGUUUUUAUGUCUGUUGAUAACGGCUAACAAUCCCACUGUAUGAUAAUUUAUUAGUAUUUCUUUCUAUUAUUAUGUAAGAAAUUUUCCACAAAGCAUAGGUAUAAGUUUGUAAAGCGUACUUCGAUAAAUAACUAAUAUACUUUUUUAAAGGUCGAUAUGUAAGUUAGUCAUAUAAGGUAGCAAUUAUAUGUUCCAUUUGACCUCCAUUUGGGUUCAUUUGGGUCCAUUUGGGUAAAUCGACGCACCCUUGCGCAUGCGCUAAUUCUGACACUUUCUGCAUAUAACAUGGCACAGAGUUUGACAGUCUUUUUCGGAAGUAGGCCUAAUAUUCAUCAUGUUGUUAGUGGAUUAUUUCACUGAAAGUACAUUUUUAAACAAACGGAUCACAAAUGUCCUUUCAAGAUGGAUAUCCUGCAACAUUUAUUUUAAAUGCAGUUUCACAUACAGAACAAGCAUGAGAAUGUGGUUAUAAAAUUGAUCUCUGUAGGUCGGUUAGCUCGAAGUAUAAAUUAGUGGUAUCGAUAGGUUAAAUGUUUCGGGACAAUUUAAUUUGCAUGUUAUUUAUUCAAAUGGUUUAUUACAGGCACUCGAUCAUCAUAUUUCAUAUUGGCAAGUCAAGCUCAACUAUAUUACAUUGUGCAGUUUUAUAAUAAAAUUAUUCGAUCACCAUACAGAGAAAGAUGAUUUACAACAGUGAUUAGCGAACAAGUAGAUCUAGAUACUAAUUGACAACAAGAAAAUAAGAACAUAGGAUCCCUACCCUCAAUGGUUUCCUUUAGAUUGAGCUGAUGCAAGUGUCUGUAAAUCCUACAUCUGAGUCAUGGCUUCAAUCCUAAAAUAAUCCCUAUGUUGUCCAAGAGUGCUGGACAGCCUGUUGAAAGUUCCCAUCAGGAUGAAUAUCUGACAUCAUAUGGACUUCACGUACGACCUAUAGUAGGGGAUGGGAAUUGUUUCUUUAGGUAUGUUAGUCUUGCGCUCUAUAGAAAACAACAUCAUCACCAAGAGCUACGAAAAGCAGCAAUACAUGAAACUGAUCAAACUUUGGAUACCUUUCAUAUGUUUUCUUUCAUUCUAAUGGUAAUCUUAUGACUUAUCCAGAAAUUCAACUGGAACUAAAUAAUCUUAGGCAGUUAGGCACUUUUCCAGGGUAGUAAUCAGUUUCGGCAAUGUCUAGGCAUUUUGGGAUCAAUUUAUUAGUAACUGUUGGUGGUGAUCAGGAUAAUCAAGUCGUGACUCUUGAACAUGACUUUGGAAACUCAAAUUCUAGGAUUCAUUUGCUUUGGACGAGAGUAGGGUUGGGCAUUAUGAAACUGUGACUGAAACAUCACCACCAGACAAUUAGAGAGAACCAUUAUCAUAAGGAUUCAAAAGCAAUUAUUGCUGAAAUUUUGACCAUUCUGCAUGUAAGAAAUUUGACAAGGUGGACAAAACAAAAAUGGAACUUAAAAAUGAUAAAUAAGAUAGGUAUUCCAUUUUAUUAUCAGAUAAACAUGCAUGUCUAUUCCUUUCAAUGUCAUGCAUAAUGCAAGAAUGGAUAAUGUCAACCAUACUCUUAGACAGACUCAAUGGGGAAGGGUAUUUGGAAAAUAUUUUGUGUAGUUUAAUCAUGUUCAGCUUUAUCUAACAGUUUGUAAGACUAGGUAAUAUAUACAUGUAAUUGUUCCAGUUAAAAGUUUUGAUUCAGUUUGUUUUAUUGUAGGUAUUUGUGUACUGCCUGUCUAUCAAUGUAAAUGUUUAUUGCUUCAAAGAUUUCAAGGAUGCCAUUCUAGCAGUAUGUGUUAUUAAAUUUCAUUUUUUUUAACUGAUUGACAAUUGUAACAAGCACUAAGUCAGUUCAGUAGUAGACUCACAAUGGCAGAUGAGCUUAUCCGGCAGCUCUAUGCCAGUGUCUCAUUGCAGAAUUGUCAAUGAAUUCAUGAUUAGACAGACAACAGAAGUCAGAUCAUUUGUUGAUUAUUAAUAUUCUAUUAAUGUAGUUCCACCUUCCUGUGAUGUCGUAAGAUUUCACAAAGUCAAUGAUUUAAUUUUAAAGAUUCAUGCAUGACAGGGACAUACAUUUUGUUGGAGUCCUUUUCAAUAGUUAUUGUAAAAAAUCUUGUAAACCAUAAAAUAUUUCAAAUGUAUGAAUAAUCAAUAUUACAUGUUUUAAGAAUAUUGAAUACAAGGGUAAUAACUCUUGUUUUCAUUUAAUUAUUCAUAAAAUCCAUUAUGCAAAAGAUUUCCUUUAUUUUUCACUAACAUUUUGUAUAUUUUUUAAAGAAACAGUUUCAUGAAAUUGUUAUGAAUACUAUUGUAUCGUUUUAGCCAGUUUUUGUGAAAUUUUGAUAAUGCUAAUUAAGGAGAAUUGCUAUUUUCUGAUGUGGAUAACCGGUAUAUGUUUGCUAAUUGAUAAAAAAUUCAUUAAUACUGCAACAUACUUAUUUUAUCAUUUUUAUUUGUUACUAAGAUAUAUUAUUAUACGCCCGUAUUUAGACGGGACGUAUCAUGGUACAGCGAUGUAUGUACGUCCGUCCGUUCGGGGUUUUCUCUUUAUAAUUUCAUUUCCCUUUCACAUAUAAUGCUGACACUUGCUCUGUAGCUUCUUUGUGGGUCACUCUAGAUCAUCCUGCAAUGUUGAUCUAUUUCGACCUUUCUUCCAGGAGUUUUGCCCUUUUAUUUGAAAAUAAUUAUUAUAUGGAGGGUACAUAACUUAUCCGCCAUACUCCUCCCACAGUUUCAAGUGGGGACCUUCUUAUUUUGUGGAGUGUUUGUAUGGGUAUUGAAGAUGUGCAUGUGGGAUGGAUUUUGAUUUUCUACAAUUUUUGGGAAAAUUACAGGUUGUUGAACUUGGUCUAUUUGGAAAUUGAUAUUCUAUGGAGGGUACAUAAUUUGUCUGCCCAAGUCCUCCCACACUUUUCAAGUGAGGACCCUCUUAUUUAGUGGAGUGUUUGUAUAGGUACUGAAGAUGUGCACGUGCGAUGGAUUUUGAUUUUCUACAAUUUUUGAGAAAAUUACAGGUUUUUGAACUUAGUCUAUUUGGAAAUUAAUAUUCAAUCAAGGGUACAUAGUUUGUCCGCCCAACUCCUCCCACAGUUUUCAAGUGAGGACCAUCUUAUUUUGUGGAGUGUUUGUAUGGGUAUUGAAGAUGUGCAUCUGGGGGAGGAUUUUGAUUUUUUUCCAUUUUUGAAAAAAUUACAGGUUUUUGAACUCGGCCCAUUUUGAGGAAAUCUUCAUUUUUAAGCUAAGACUUUGUUCACAUGAAUGUUUGUCACAGCUUCAUGAUGGCUGAUACUACCUGAAGGAAAGUUAUACAAAUUAUAGCACAAGAAAAACACCCUAUGUAAGCAUUUCACGGGCGUAUUAUGUACCUUUUGCGGUACUCUUGUUUGAAGAAUCAACGAUCAAAUGUAAGAUUAAACCUAUAAUUCUAGAAGGGUGGAAUUACCUUAACAACUUUGAUGUGCAUGCUAAUAUAAAGUUAUGUUUAUAUUGGAGGAUAAAAUGUGUUAACAUCAAAUAAUCUCAACAGUCCAGUAAUAGACUCGCAGUGUCAGAUGUGCUUAUUUAGUGUAAUGUUGGUGCAGGUUAAUUAAUGCAAGCGGAAAUUUGCAAAUACAAUUGUCCUCCUAUUUAGCUCACCUGAGCUGAAAGCUCAAGUGAGCUUUUCUGAUCACCCGUAGUCGGCAUCCGUCUGUCUGUCUGUCCGUCUGUCAACUUUUAACAUUUUUGACUUCUUCUCAAAAACCACUGGACCAAUUUCAACCAAAGUUGGUGCAAAGCAUCCUUAGGAAAAGAAAUUCUAAAUUGUUAAAAUAAAGGGCCAGGCCACCUUCCAAGGAGAGAUAAUCAAGAAAAGGUAAAAAUAGAGUAGAGUCAUUAAAAAAUAUUCUUCUCAAGAACCACUGAGCCAGAAAAGCUGAGAUUUACAUGAAAGCUUCCUGACAUAAUGCAGAUUCAAGUUUGUUCAAAUCAAAGCCCCUGGGGGUUCCACGGGGCCGCAAUAGGGGAUCAAAGUUUUACAUACCAUUACUUAGGAAAAAUCUUUAAAAAUACUUUACUCAAGAACCACUGAGCCGAAAAAGCUGAGAUUUACAUGAAAGUUUCUGACAUAAUGCAGAUUCAAGUUUGUUCAAAUCAUGGCCCCUGGGGGUAUGAUGGGGCCAUAAUAGGGGAUAAAAAUUUUACAUACAAAUAUAUAGACUGAAAAUCUUUAAAAAUCUCUUUCUCAAGAACCACUGAGGCAGAAAAGCUGAGAUUUACAUGAAAGCUUCCUGACAUAAUACAGAUUCAAGUUUGUUCAAAUCAAGAUCCUUGCGGGUAUGAUGGCGCUGCAAUAGGGGAUCAAAAUUUUACAUACAAAUAUAUAAACUGAAAAUCUUUAAAAAUCUCUUUCUCCAGAACCACUGAGGCAGAAAAGCUGAGAUUUACAUGAAAGCUUCCUGACAUAAUACAGAUUUAAGUUUGUUCAAAUCAAGAUCCUUGCGGGUAUGAUGGCGCUGCAAUAAGGAAUCAAAAUUUUACAUACAAAUAUAUAAACUGAAAAUUUUUAAAAAUCUCUUUCUCCAGAACCACUGAGCCAGAAAAGCUGAAAUUUACAUGAAAGCUUUCUGGCAUAAUGCACAUUCAAGUUUGUUCAAAUCAUGGUCCCUGGGAGUAUGAUGGGGCCACAGCAGGGGAUCAAAUUCUUACAUAGAUAUAUAUAGGGAAAAUCUUUAAAAAUGUUUUUCUCCAGAACCACUGAGCCAGAGAAGCUGAGAUUUACAUGAAAGCUUCCUGACAUAAUGCAGAUUCAAAUUUGUUCAAAUGAAAGCCCCUGGGGGUUCCAUGGGGCCAAAAUAGGGGAUCAAGGGUUUACAUUCAAAUAUAUAGGAAAAAUGUUGUUCUCCAGAACCACUGAGCUAGAAAAGCUGAGAUUUACAUGAAAGCUCCCUGACAUAAUGCAGAUUCAAGUUUGUUGAAAUCAUGGACCCUUGGGGUAUGAUGGGGCCACAAUAGGGGUUCAAAGAUUUACAUACAAAUAUAUAGGGGGAAUCUUUAAAAAUAUUUUUAUCAACAACCACUGAGGCAGAAAAGCUGAGAUUUACAUGAAAGCUUCGUGAUAUAAUUCAGAUUCAAGUUUAUUCAAAUGAAUGUCCCUGGGGGUAUGAGUGGUCCACAAUAGGGGAUCAAAGUUUUACGUACAAAUACAUGGGAAAAAUCUU